CCUACGGGGUGCAGCAGUAGGGAAUAUUGCUCAAUGGGGGAAACCCUGAAGCAGCAACGCCGCGUGGAGGAUGAAGGUUUUCGGAUUGUAAACUCCUUUUGUUAGAGAAGAUAAUGACGGUAUCUAACGAAUAAGCACCGGCUAACUCCGUGCCAGCAGCCGGGGUAAUACGGAGGGUGCAAGCGUUACUCGGAAUCACUGGGCGUAAAGAGCGCGGAGGCGGGAUAGCAAGUCAGAUGUGAAAUCCUAUGGCUUAACCAUAGAACUGCAUUUGAAACUGUUAUUCUAGAGUAUGGGAGAGGUAGGUGGAAUUCUUGGUGUAGGGGUGAAAUGCGUAGAGAUCAAGAGGAAUACUGAUUGCGAAGGCGGCCUGCUAGAACAUAACUGACGCUGAUGCGCGAAAGCGUGGGGAGCAAACAGGAUUAGAUACCCGGGUAGUC
rnacentral:rRNA from 1 species